rnacentral:rRNA from 1 species
AGAGUUUGAUCCUGGCUCAGAUUGAACGCUGGCGGCAUGCCUUACACAUGCAAGUCGAACGGUAACAGGUUAAGCUGACGAGUGGCGAACGGGUGAGUAAUGUAUCGGAACGUGCCCAGUCGUGGGGGAUAACUACUCGAAAGAGUGGCUAAUACCGCAUGAGACCUGAGGGUGAAAGCGGGGGAUCGCAAGACCUCGCGCGAUUGGAGCGGCCGAUAUCAGAUUAGCUAGUUGGCGGGGUAAAAGCCCACCAAGGCGACGAUCUGUAGCUGGUCUGAGAGGACGACCAGCCACACUGGGACUGAGACACGGCCCAGACUCCUACGGGAGGCAGCAGUGGGGAAUUUUGGACAAUGGACGAAAGUCUGAUCCAGCCAUGCCGCGUGCGGGAAGAAGGCCUUCGGGUUGUAAACCGCUUUUGUCAGGGAAGAAACGACGUCCUCUAAUACAGGGUGUUAAUGACGGUACCUGAAGAAUAAGCACCGGCUAACUACGUGCCAGCAGCCGCGGUAAUACGUAGGGUGCAAGCGUUAAUCGGAAUUACUGGGCGUAAAGCGUGCGCAGGCGGUUAUGCAAGACAGAUGUGAAAUCCCCGGGCUCAACCUGGGAACUGCAUUUGUGACUGCAUGGCUAGAGUACGGUAGAGGGGGAUGGAAUUCCGCGUGUAGCAGUGAAAUGCGUAGAUAUGCGGAGGAACACCGAUGGCGAAGGCAAUCCCCUGGACCUGUACUGACGCUCAUGCACGAAAGCGUGGGGAGCAAACAGGAUUAGAUACCCUGGUAGUCCACGCCCUAAACGAUGUCAACUGGUUGUUGGGAGGGUUUCUUCUCAGUAACGUAGCUAACGCGUGAAGUUGACCGCCUGGGGAGUACGGCCGCAAGGUUGAAACCCAAAGGAAUUGACGGGGACCCGCACAAGCGGUGGAUGAUGUGGUUUAAUUCGAUGCAACGCGAAAAACCUUACCUACCCUUGACAUGUCUGGAAUCCUGAAGAGAUUUGGGAGUGCUCGAAAGAGAGCCCGAACACAGGUGCUGCAUGGCCGUCGUCAGCUCGUGUCGUGAGAUGUUGGGUUUAGUCCCGCAACGAGCGCAACCCUUGUCAUUAGUUGCUACGAAAGGGCACUCUAAUGAGACUGCCGGUGACAAACCGGAGGAAGGUGGGGAUGACGUCAGGUCAUCAUGGCCCUUAUGGGUAGGGCUACACACGUCAUACAAUGGCCGGUACAGAGGGCUGCCAACCCGCGAGGGGGAGCCAAUCCCAGAAAACCGGUCGUAGUCCGGAUCGUAGUCUGCAACUCGACUGCGUGAAGUCGGAAUCGCUAGUAAUCGCGGAUCAGCUUGCCGCGGUGAAUACGUUCCCGGGUCUUGUACACACCGCCCGUCACACCAUGGGAGCGGGUUCUGCCAGAAGUAGUUAGCCUAACCGCAAGGGGGGCGAUUACCACGGCAGGGUUCGUGACUGGGGUGAAGUCGUAACAAGGUA